AGUCGUAACAAGGUCUCCGUUGGUGAACCAGCGGAGGGAUCAUUACCGAGUUUACAACUCCCAAACCCCUGUGAACAUACCACUUGUUGCCUCGGCGGAUCAGCCCGCUCCCGGUAAAACGGGACGGCCCGCCAGAGGACCCCUAAACUCUGUUUCUAUAUGUAACUUCUGAGUAAAACCAUAAAUAAAUCAAAACUUUCAACAACGGAUCUCUUGGUUCUGGCAUCGAUGAAGAACGCAGCAAAAUGCGAUAAGUAAUGUGAAUUGCAGAAUUCAGUGAAUCAUCGAAUCUUUGAACGCACAUUGCGCCCGCCAGUAUUCUGGCGGGCAUGCCUGUUCGAGCGUCAUUUCAACCCUCAAGCACAGCUUGGUGUUGGGACUCGCGUUAAUUCGCGUUCCCCAAAUUGAUUGGCGGUCACGUCGAGCUUCCAUAGCGUAGUAGUAAAACCCUCGUUACUGGUAAUCGUCGCGGCCACGCCGUUAAACCCCAACUUCUGAAUGUUGACCUCGGAUCAGGUAGGAAUACCCGCUGAACCUAAGCAUAUCA
rnacentral:misc_RNA from 1 species